rfam:Salmo salar isolate Sally breed double haploid chromosome ssa07, whole genome shotgun sequence.
UGUGCGCGCAUGUGUAAGUCGUUCUGGAUAAGAGCGUCUGCUAAAUGACUUAAA